GUCAGGAUGGCCGAGCGGUCCAAGGCGCUGCGUUUAGGUCGCAGUCUCGUAAAGAGGCGUGGGUUCAAAUCCUACUUCUGACA